rnacentral:lncRNA from 1 species
GAAGCGUGGCCGGCACCCGGUGUCAUACUUUACCCGAGCGUACAGCUUUGUAACUGCGAACUCUGGAGGGGUAGCCCUCAACAUAGGCCGACGAGGCCUAUCUACAAACUGACAAUACUGAUCAAGGCCGACGAGACCAUAUUCUGAAUCAUCGAAAAAAAAAUAUGUCUACAACCAACAAUACACAACUGAAUAUAUACACAAGGCUCGCAAGGCCAAAACACUGACAUACAAAAUAUACAGGACUCGUCUACAGGUCUCUAGAGAUAACAAAAUUAUAUUACGGUCAGGAUUCCGAAUUACCCAUCAACUCUGUAUAUACAAGAUGGACUCCAAUGUCUAGACCUAGUAACUCCGUUUGUAUUUCUUGCUACUAGUGAAAGAAUUAGGACCAUUUGGCUUCUCAUGCAUGGGAAGGUUAAAAAAACGUUCAACAAAUAAGAAUAGUCACGUCAUCACAUGCAUAUCUUUAUUUUCUUCAGCAUAUCCAAAUGAAUUAUCCGAAUAUCAAUUUACUAUAAAUGGUAGUGAACAAAUCCAAAGCUACUCUGAGGAAAUUUUAAGAAUUGAAGAUUAUAUUAGAGCACAAGAAUUGCAGGGUUAGCAGGAAACAAUGCUUUUAAGUGUAAUUUCUUUCUUGCCAAGGGAGAAUUGCUCUGCAUGUCCAUUUCCAGAUUGCUGAAGAAACAAAACACUAGUAAUUUUUUGCAGAAUCUAAAAUCUCGUAAAGGAAUUAAUUCUGUUAGUUUCUUCUUCUUCUUUUUUUCUAAAUAUUUUUUCAUAUUGUAGGGAAGAACCUAACUAGUUGCACGUAUUGGAAAUGGACAAGAUUUGCCCAUUCAAAACAUUGGUAGUAUGGCGGAAUCAGCUACGAACUUUGUCCCUAAAUCGCUCGUAGCUAACAGAAUUUUUUGAUAAUCUAUCAUCAAUCUAUCGCUAAGUAGGAUUACCGACGAAUUUUGCUAUUACUAUUUUUUUUAUGUAGUGUUAACUUGCUUCUAUCCAUUCAAAAGUUUGCCAAGGAUAAUAAUGUUCUUUCAAGGAUCAGGAGUCUACGACUCCUAUAAAUGAGAAGCAACGGUCUUUAUGUUUGACUUUAUAUUGUUUCAUGUGUUGCCCAAUUAAUAUAAAACCCAUAACUAAUAUUUAAUGAAGAACACAUCUUGUCCUUUUAUCCAACAAUCUAUGGACAUAGAGGAUUUAUUCAUAAUAUCUAUUAAUUGGCCA